CUGUUCCCUCUCCAAAGUCCCCUACAUGAGCCCACAGUAUGUUCCUUAUCUACUCAGGCUCCAUCGCUGGUGGUGGUACUUGUUAGGGGCCUGAGAGGAUUAUGAAAAUGUGACUGGCCUAGUGGGGCUGGGGCUGGGUGG